GUGGGGAAUUUUGGACAAUGGGCGAAAGCCUGAUCCAGCCAUGCCGCGUGCAGGAUGAAGGCCUUCGGGUUGUAAACUGCUUUUGUACGGAACGAAAAGACUCCUUCUAAUAAAGGGGGUCCAUGACGGUACCGUAAGAAUAAGCACCGGCUAACUACGUGCCAGCAGCCGCGGUAAUACGUAGGGUGCAAGCGUUAAUCGGAAUUACUGGGCGUAAAGCGUGCGCAGGCGGUUAUAUAAGACAGAUGUGAAAUCCCCGGGCUCAACCUGGGAACUGCAUUUGUGACUGUAUAGCUAGAGUACGGUAGAGGGGGAUGGAAUUCCGCGUGUAGCAGUGAAAUGCGUAGAUAUGCGGAGGAACACCGUUGGCGAAGGCAAUCCCCUGGACCUGUACUGACGCUCAUGCACGAAAGCGUGGGGAGCAAACAGGAUUAGAUACCCCAGUAGUCC
rnacentral:rRNA from 1 species